CCGGCCGUCCGCCCCCACGCUAAACCCCUCUCGCGAACAAAUCAAAUUUAACCCGGCUCGCGCACACGUCCGCGGCCGCCCCCGCACGCCGCACGCCGCCCGCCAGCCCACACCCUGCCUCACACCCCCUCCGCGCUCCAAAACCCUAGCUCUUCGUCGGCGAUGGCGGCUGCGGCGCAGGGCGGCGCCGCGGGCCCGGCGGCGGGCGAGGAGGAGGCCGGCGAGAGCCGCAAGCUCUUCGUGGGCGGCAUCCCGUCCGCGGCGCAGGAGGCCGAGCUGCGGGCGCACUUCGCCCGCUUCGGGGAGGUGCGCUCCGCCAUCGUGAUGCGGGACCGGGAGACGGGCCACGGCCGCGGCUUCGGCUUCGUCGAGUUCGAGGACGAGGCCGCCGCGGCCGCCGCGCUCGGCGACGGGGACAAGCCCAGGCACUUCAUCUGCGGCCGGAUGGUUGACGUUAAGAGGGCCAGGACAAGAGCUCCACGGAACCAGGGCGAGCAGAACUCUCAGCCUCAGCAGCCUGAAAACGGCCGGGGUCAGGGGCACCAGGACAAUCAGCAGCAGCCGGCUGGGCACGGUACUGCUGACAGCGGUAACAAUGUGAGCUAUGAUUCAAAGAAGGUCUUCAUUGGCGGCUUGCGGGAUAAUAUCACCGAGGAGGAGUUCAAGGCUUACUUUGAGACUUUUGGCACUGUAACAGAUGUUGUGGUGAUUUAUGACAGCUUGACAAGCCGCUCGAGGGGGUUCGGUUUUGUCACCUUCGAUUCGGAGGAAGCAGUGGGAAAGGUGAUGCGACAAAGCUUCCAUAACCUGAAUGGAACCAAGGUUGAGGCCAAGAUUGCUAUCCCCAAGGAUGAGCAGUAUUACCGUAACGGUCGAGGCCGUGGGGCACGACCCUUUGGCAGCAGGGGCCCUGCUGGCUAUGAAGGUUCUGCAUACCAACCAUACAAUGCUAGAUUUGGUCUUUACAAUGGCUACAUACCACAACCUGUGCCUGCACAGCCCUACUUUCCUGCACCCUAUUUUGCUGUGGGAGGCUAUCCGUAUGGCAGUGGGUACCCAAGCCAAGGUGUGAUGUCAAAUGUUCCUGGAAUGAUAUCAAGGCUGGUUCCUCCAGCCCAUGGAACAUAUCCUCAUAUGUAUCCAGGGUUUAACUUUGUAUACAGAGCUGGUUAUGGGGGUGCAGCUACUUCUUUUCAGCAAGGAAUUAAUGGUGGAAGUGAUAACAAAAAGGAUCAAAUCAAUGUAGAUAUGCAGCAAGUUGACAGCACUGCUAGCGUUACAACAAUGUUGGAACAUAUGAAGCUAGGUUCACAAUGACUUUCUGGUGCGUGUAUUCUGAUACCCUACUGGUUAAAAUGUUAUCACCUUUUACUGCUUGGCUUGGAUUUUACUUCACCGUUCCUAUUUUAUAGUGAUGUCCAUCAUGCAUGACUUAAAACUGAUAGGAUGUACGAGUCUUCCCCUGAACCCAGGGGUAGUCUGCCAAUAGUGAAACUGAGGACUAUUACUUCUACAUUGAUGACACUGGAGUAGAACAAUUGUUUGGGAACCCGCAACUGUGAAGACUUGAGCUGAGAUUCUUUGGUUGACAAGUAGUAUAUCAUUGGAAUUCUUCAACUUACUCUCCAUUCCUUUUCUUUCUACUGCCUGUAAACUGAAAGCACGCAAGCUGCUGGCUGUUGACCUCACCCACCUCUCUUGUACCAAUGUUUAAAUUCGUUCAUCGUGUAUCCGAAUCAGACUAUUCAACCCUAAUCGCCUGUGCAAUCCCAUUUGUCCUCACUCGUUGAAUCA